rnacentral:sRNA from 1 species
GCUCCCUCCAUGGGGAUGCGCCCCACAGUUUGAGAAACGCUGCUCUAAGCAAUAUGAAUAUUAACUUGCAUAACACUUGAUUUUAUUUGUUUCUUAAUCAGGUGAAUGGAGCACUGCUGGUGCAUUUGCAAUAUUGGCUUUGAUGCCUGGACUUCUAGCUUUUUAUCAGUCCUGCCUCCCUAUUGAUAGGCACAUUCAUGGGAGACCUGAAAAUAGUUAUACCAAGUCGGGUACUUUGGCAACUGGAAUAACAGCAAUUCUGUGCGUUUUUCUCAGUUGCUUUGUCUAUGGUGCUGGUGUUCUUAAAAAGAUAGCCGAAGUAUUAGACGCAGAUAUUGGCUACUCCUUCAUCCUGAGUGCCGUUGGUGGCGUCGUUUUCUUUUUCGGGUGUCUUCUGUUCUAUACAACUGUGUGAAUAAACUAACACAAAAGUAACACUUGUUC